GAUGAACGCUGGCGGCGUGCUUAACACAUGCAAGUCGAACGGUGAAGCUCCAGCUUGCUGGAGUGGAUCAGUGGCGAACGGGUGAGUAACACGUGAGCAACCUGCCCCUGACUCUGGGAUAACAGCCGGAAACGGCUGCUAAUACCGGAUAUGCACCAUGAACGCAUGUUCUGUGGUGGGAAAGAUUUUUCGGUUGGGGAUGGGCUCGCGGCCUAUCAGCUUGUUGGUGAGGUAAUGGCUCACCAAGGCGUCGACGGGUAGCCGGCCUGAGAGGGUGACCGGCCACACUGGGACGGAGACACGGCCCAGACUCCUACGGGAGGCAGCAGUGGGGAAUAUUGCACAAUGGGCGAAAGCCUGAUGCAGCAACGCCGCGUGAGGGAUGACGGCCUUCGGGUUGUAAACCUCUUUUAGCAGGGAAGAAGCGAGAGUGACGGUACCUGCAGAAAAAGCGCCGGCUAACUACGUG
rnacentral:rRNA from 1 species